UACGUAGGGCGCAAGCGUUGUCCGGAAUUAUUGGGCGUAAAGAGCUCGUAGGCGGCUUGUCACGUCGGAUGUGAAAGCCCGAGGCUUAACCUCGGGUCUGCAUUCGAUACGGGCUAGCUAGAGUGUGGUAGGGGAGAUCGGAAUUCCUGGUGUAGCGGUGAAAUGCGCAGAUAUCAGGAGGAACACCGGUGGCGAAGGCGGUUCUCUGGGCAUGAUCUGACGCUGAGGAGCGAAAGUGUGGGGAGCGAACAGG
rnacentral:rRNA from 1 species